rnacentral:tRNA from 1 species
GCCGGGAUAGCUCAGUUGGUAGAGCAGGGGACUGAAAACCCUCGUGUCACCAUUC